UGCCACAAUGAUGACACUUAUUUGCUACUCUUGAUUAGAAUGAUGAGAAUGCUCAACCACCCUAUAAUUGAAACUGAGGCA
rnacentral:snoRNA from 1 species